rnacentral:rRNA from 1 species
GACGUAGGGCGCGAGCGUUGUCCGGAUUUAUUGGGCGUAAAGAGCUCGUAGGCGGCUUGUCGCGUCAACUGUGAAACCCGUGGCUCAACCAUGUGGUCUGCAGUCGAUACGGGCAGGCUAGAAUUCGGUAGGGGAGACUGGAAUUCCUGGUGUAGCGGUGAAAUGCGCAGAUAUCAGGAGGAACACCGGUGGCGAAGGCGGGUCUCUGGGCCGAUAUUGCGCUGAGGAGCGAAAGCGUGGGAGCGAACAGG